GAUGAACGCUAGCGAUAGGCCUAACACAUGCAAGUCGAGGGGCAUCACAUGAAGUAGCAAUACGGAUGGUGGCGACCGGCGCACGGGUGAGUAACACGUAUGCAACCUGCCUUCAACAAGGGGAUAACCCGUUGAAAGACGGACUAAUACCCUAUAACACAGGGGUCCCGCAUGGGGAUAUUUGUUAAAGGACAACCGGUUGAAGAUGGGCAUGCGUUCCAUUAGCUAGUUGGCGGGGUAAGGGCCCACCAAGGCAACGAUGGAUAGGGGAACUGAGAGGUUUAUCCCCCACACUGGUACUGAGACACGGACCAGACUCCUACGGGAGGCAGCAGUGAGGAAUAUUGGUCAAUGGACGCAAGUCUGAACCAGCCACGUCGCGUGAAGGAAGACGGCCCUACGGGUUGUAAACUUCUUUUGCAAGGGAAUAAAGUGCCCCACGCGUGGGGUUUUGCAUGUACCGUAUGAAUAAGGAUCGGCUAACUCCGUGCCAGCAGCCGCGGUAAGUACGCAGCGA
rnacentral:rRNA from 1 species